GGCCUCGUAGCUCAGUUGGUUAGAGCGACGGUCAUCUGAUCCAGAGGUCAUGGGCUCAUUUCCCACUGGGAUCA